UACGAAGGGGGCUAGCGUUGUUCGGAAUUACUGGGCGUAAAGCGCACGUAGGCGGAUAUUUAAGUCAGGGGUGAAAUCCCAGAGCUCAACUCUGGAACUGCCUUUGAUACUGGGUAUCUUGAGUAUGGAAGAGGUAAGUGGAAUUGCGAGUGUAGAGGUGAAAUUCGUAGAUAUUCGCAGGAACACCAGCGGCGAAGGCGGCUUACUGGUCCAUAACUGACGCUGAGGUGCGAAAGCGCGGGGAGCAAACAGGAGUUAGAAACCCCGGUAGUACCCCAGGACACGCUAU
rnacentral:rRNA from 1 species